rnacentral:lncRNA from 1 species
AAAAAUGUUAUUUUAAUAUAUAGAGAUAGGAUCUUGCUAUGUUGGCCAGGCUAGUCUCAGAUUCCUGGCCUCAAGCAGUCCUCCUGCCUUGGCCUCCCAAAAUGCUGGGAUUACAGGCAUGAGUCAGUGUGCCCAACCAGUCAUUUCAAUAAAUGUGCUGGAUCAAUUGUAUAUUCAUGUGAAAAAUUACCUCACAUCAUAACAACAACAACAACAAAAAUCCAGAUGGAUUUUUAAAUCCAUCUAAAUGUGAAAGGUAAAGCAAUAAAGCUUUUGAAGAAAACAUAGGAGACCACCUUCAUGACCUCAGAGUAGGCAAAGAUUUCUUAAACACGACACAAAAAGGCUCACUAUAAAAGAAAAAAAUUGAUAAAUUAGACUAAAGGGCCACUGUAUUAGAUACCUUGAGUGAUUGCAAAACCUGGUUCUUGUCCUUAUGAAGUUCAUAAUAAAGCCGAUUGUUUUCUUUUUCUUUCUUUUUUUGUUAAGAGCAGAGUUUUAAAAGCUGGCUGUCCUCCCUGUUCUGCUCUCCCUAGGUGGUAGACUACCUACCCCUCAGGCAUCCUGCUGUUAAUUCGCUGAGUUCCCAGAGAGCAGGGCUCCCCAACAAAUAGCUGAUCUUUCUCCCUUGCCUGGCCUAGAUCGGCCUCUGUUUAGAGAGGUGGUUUGGUGGUUGAAGAAUGAGAACAGGGUGGGAGGGGGACAAACAGGCCUCUUCUGUGUCAUUGACAGCUGAUUUUUGUUUGUCAGCGUGCUAAGGUUGUGAAGUUGCCAAUCCGUGAUGAUUAAGAUUCUGUUGGGGUCCUUUGGAGAGGAGAGAGGUGGUGGCUUCUGAGAACAUAACCAGAAGGCUUUUAGGGAAAUGGAAAAGUCAUAGUACGGAGCUUCAGCCUAGUCAUUCACUGAGCUCAGAAGUGCUCCUCCUCACCCCUCCUCUCCCUUCCUUUUCCUUUCUUUACUAGCUGGGAUUGUUCUUUCAUUUAUUCAUAAAAAUAAGGUACAAAAACAAAUAAUGCCUUGCCGUUGUUAUUAAGAGAGACAUUUAAAAUGGAUCAUUGAAAUACUAUGUGGGAAGGCUUAUUCAUAGUUAAUUAUUAAUGACACUUAUCAAAGCUUGUCCUGGACCAAGUAUUGUGACUGUCUCUUUAUUUGCACCAUUUCAUUUCAUCGUCAUAGCAUCCUUAUGAGCUAAAUAUUAUUCUACGUAUUUAAUAGGUUAUGCUAUUGAGGCUUAUAAAGAUUUAGCAACUUGGUCAACUAUAUUGUUAAGGGUCUCAAGACAAUCCUCUUUACAGGUCCAAGCCCAUCAAUCAAAUGUCAUUUGGCAAUAACUCUUUCUUAUUUUGUUAUCAAUGUGUCACCCAAAUUAUUUGGAGCCUGAGGCCUUAAUUAAAAAUCUGGCUGGUGUGAUUAUAAUGUGGCUGAGUGCUGAUGCCAAAUUUAAAGUCAGAGUGUGAUUUUUUUAAGCUAUGUAUUUCAGAAGGAUUGAUGGUGGCUACUUGCCUUGUGCUCCAGAGCAGCACCCCCUUGAUGGCAAGCCACUCCAAGAAUGUUUAGGGCCGUAGCUGGCUGGUCCCCAAUAGAGAAAACCCAA